rnacentral:rRNA from 1 species
GACGAACGCUGGCGGCGUGCUUAACACAUGCAAGUCGAGCGGUAAGGCCCUUUCGGGGGUACACGAGCGGCGAACGGGUGAGUAACACGUGGGUGACCUGCCCUCAGCCCUGGGAUAAGCCUGGGAACCGGGUCUAAUACUGGAUAUGACUCCAUGACGCAUGUUGUGGGGUGGAAAGCCUUGUGCGGCUGAGGAUGGGCCCGCGGCCUAUCAGCUUGUUGGUGGGGUGAUGGCCUACCAAGGCGACGACGGGUAGCCGCCUGAGAGGCGACCGGCCACACUGGGACUGAGACACGGCCCAGACUCCUACGGGAGGCAGCAGUGGGGAAUCUUGCGCAAUGGGCGAAAGCCUGACGCAGCGACGCCGCGUGA